UACGUAGGGUCCGAGCGUUGUCCGGAAUUACUGGGCGUAAAGCGCGCGCAGGCGGCCCGCGAGGUGUCACGUGAAAGCCCCGGGCUCAACCCGGGAGGGUCGUGGCAAACCGGCGGGCUUGAGGCCGGUAGAGGUGGGUGGAGCUCCUGGUGGAGUGGUGAAAUGCGUAGAGAUCAGGAAGAACACCCGUGGCGAAGGCGGCCCACUGGGCCGGUACUGACGCUGAGGCGCGAAGGCGUGGGGAGCGAACGGG
rnacentral:rRNA from 1 species